rnacentral:rRNA from 1 species
UACGAAGGGGGGCUAGCGUUGCUCGGAAUUACUGGGCGUAAAGGGGAGCGUAGGCGGGUUAUCAAGUUGGAGGUGAAAGCCCAGGGCUCAACCUUGGAAUUGCCUUCAAAACUGAUAGCCUAGAGUAUGAUAGAGGUAUGUGGAACUCCGAGUGUAGAGGUGAAAUUCGUAGAUAUUCGGAAGAACACCAGUGGCGAAGGCGACAUACUGGGUCAUGACUGACGCUGAGGCUCGAAAGCGUGGGGGAGCAAACAGG